rnacentral:lncRNA from 1 species
AGACUCAAUCAGCUGAGUUUCUGCCUCAAAUUCUUCUAAUGCUGCUACCUUGGUAUGUAGUAAAUAUAUAACCCUUCCUUUGGUUUAUGCUAUACACAUGCAUUGUUGUAGCUGCUUAAUUGAUUCACCAAAACUCAUAGGGAAAAGGUUCUUGAUUUUAACCAGUAUUAUCAAUUACUAUGAUUAUAAAUUACUAUGAUUAACUAGAUGCACAGUUAUUUUUAGACACU